CCAGGACUUGUACCUCCAACAGCUGAUUCACUGCGAGAGGGAUUGCUGGAAGAAGAAUAUGCAAGAACCCAGAGUUUGCUGAAGGAACGUGAAGCUGAGAAGUUGAAAAAUGGCUGCUCUAUAAUGACCGAUGCUUGGUCAGAUAGGAAGAAGAGAAGCAUAAUGAAUUUGUGCACUAAUUGUGCUGAUGGAACCACCUUCAUCGGCUCAAAAGAGAUGUCAGCUGUGUCACACACAAGUGAUGUCAUUUUUGAGCUAGUGGACAAAGCAAUUGAAGAAAUUGGUCCAGAAAAUGUGGUGCAAGUAGUGACUGACAAUGCAUCUAACAACAUGGGAACAAAGAAGCUAUUAGAGGAGAAGAGACCACAGAUAUUUUGGACCUCUUGUGCAGCUCACACUAUCAACUUGAUGCUCCAAGGAAUUGGUAGCUUGACUCGGUUCAAGAGAGUGGUUGACCAAGCAAAUGCAUUUACCAUAUUUGUCUAUGGCCACACAAGGACAUUGGAGUGCAUGAGAGAAUCCACAGAGGGGAAAGCGGUAGUGAGGCCAGGAGUGAGUAGGUUUGCUUCAAACUUUCUCACUUUGCAUAGUAUGCUAGAGAAGGACCAGCUAAAAAAGAUGGUGGUUCAUAGUAAGUGGGACUCAUUGAAGGAUGUGAAAUCAAAGAAAGGGAAACAUGCCACAACAACCAUAUUAACUGGUUCAUAGUAAGUGGGACUCAUUGAAGGAUGUAAUGGCUAUUAUUGAGAAGAAAAUGAAUGGAAGUCUUGAUUCUCCAUUGCAUUUGACAGCUUAUUUGUUGAAUCCAUACUAUAGCUAUAGUAACCCAUCAAUCUUUGAUGAGCAAAAAUAAAUGAAGCAUUUAUAGCUUGUGUUGAGAAAUUUUAUUAUCAUGAUGAGGACAAGCAAGAUCAGGCUGCCAACAUUGAACUGAAAAAGUUUCAGAGUAGAGAAGGGCAUUUUAACAAGAAGCUUGCAAGGAAUUGGCAAAACUUUGAAUACAGCCCAGCAUCAUGGUGGCGGCUGUAUGGAAAUGAAACACCAGCUUUACAGAAGAUGGUUACAAGGGUCUUAUCUUUGACAUCAAGCUCUUCUAGUUGUGAAAGAAACUAGAGUGGGUUUGAAGGGAUACACACUAAGAAGAGAAAUAGGCUUACUACAACCCGCCUCAACAAGUUGGUCUAUAUUCAAUUCAACAACAGGAUGUUGAAUAAGAGAGAAAAGAUCAAGUCAAAGAAAAUCACUGAUGUUCUCUUGUCUAGUGAUACAACUGAAGCUCAAGAUUUUCUCCAAAAGGGUGGAGAUGAUUUAGCAUUAGUUGUCUUUAGAGAUGAGGAAGAUGAGGAUGAGAUGGAAGGUAGAGGGACACCUUGGUCUGUUAUUGGAGAGGAAGUGGGAGCAGAAGAAGAGCUUGAGCGGCGUACAAGUGCAAGACUGAGGGAGCUCUAUGAAGGAGAAGAAUAUGAGUCUGAAGAAGAAGAGCAUGACGAUGAGAACUACAGCGAAGAAGAAAUAUGAUCUGGACCAUCUCCAACUAGUAGUGAAGCCUUUUGUGAUGCCGUGGUCUAAUGAACUGCAGCUGUGUCACUUUAUGUCUGUGUAUUUUCUUUUGUGAUUUGUGAGACCUGAACUAAGAACUAUGUGCUUGUGCUGUCCUUUAUUUAUAAAUUGUGUUGUGCACUUAUAUUACUGUCCUAUCCACUUGUAUUGUAAUUACUAGUUGUUGAUAUGGACCA